UACGUAGGGGGCAAGCGUUGUCCGGAAUCAUUGGGCGUAAAGAGCGUGUAGGCGGCUUGUUAAGUCUUGCGUGAAAUCUCGGGGCUCAACCCCGAGCGGUCGUGAGAAACUGGCAGGCUAGAGUGCGGGAGAGGAGAGUGGAAUUCCUGGUGUAGCGGUGAAAUGCGCAGAUAUCAGGAAGAACACCCGUGGCGAAGGCGGCUCUCUGGAACGCAACUGACGCUGAGACGCGAAAGCGUGGGGAGCGAACAGG
rnacentral:rRNA from 1 species